AACGAACGCUGGCGGCAUGCCUAACACAUGCAAGUCGAACGAGACCUUCGUGUCUAGUGGCGCACGGGUGCGUAACGCGUGGGAACCUGCCCUUAGGUUCGGAAUAACUCCCCGAAAGGGGUGCUAAUACCGGAUAAUGUCUUCGGACCAAAGAUUUAUCGCCUUUGGAUGGGCCCGCGUUGGAUUAGCUAGUUGGUAGGGUAAAAGCCUACCAAGGCGACGAUCCAUAGCUGGUCUGAGAGGAUGAUCAGCCACACUGGGACUGAGACACGGCCCAGACUACUACGGGAGGCAGCAGUGGGGAAUAUUGGACAAUGGGCGAAAGCCUGAUCCAGCAAUGCCGCGUGAGUGAUGAAGGCCUUAGGGUUGUAAAGCUCUUUUACCCGGGAUGAUAAUGACAGUACCGGGAGAAUAAGCUCCGGCUAACUCCGUG
rnacentral:rRNA from 1 species